GGUGGACACACGGAUGGUGACAGCCCUGGGCUGGCUAGGAGAGACAAGACCAGGAAAACAGCCAAGCAGGAGGGUCUGAUGGAUUCUAAAGAAACAAAGUAGCUGUGUAAUGAAGAACCAACCUUACCCAACAGAGGUCUGGCCUUUGUCCUCAACUGUGGAGAGGUGAUCUCUAGGUCCCUGGAAUGUCCUGCCCAACAAGAGUGUUUUUGUGAGCUUGGGGCUUAGGUCAUUGGACAGUCUAAUAAUGUGAUUUAUGACAGAGGCUUUGGGACACACCAUGUGAGUUCCAACCUCCAGAAGGGGCCGGAGACCAAAGGUCAGCCAUGUGGGCCAUAUGUGAUCAAGCUCCAGUAAAAACUCUGGACACCAAAGGCUUGGAUUCUCAUAGCUGAUGGAUUACGUAUAAAGGACCUAAAGAUUCUACAAUAUCCUAACGGUGCUGAAGAAUCGCCUUGAUGGAAUAAGAACCAUUAGGUGGCAGCACAGGGCGUAUCUUGUCAAAUCUUUCUACAAUGGGCUGGCAGAUGUGAGGCACCAAACUGUCUAGCAAGGGAUAACUUAGAACCAUAUCAGGGCAAGCACUUGGGCUGAGACCAGCGAGAGGAUAAGAGCUGGCCAAGAGCCUCCCAGUCUCACUGUGCUGUUCAUAGUGGAAAGUGUGGAGCUGCCAGGAGAGAGGAGGGGUUGCAUCAUAUGGUGACAAAAGAAUGAAUCCCACCCAGAGGAAGCAGAGCCAAGAAAUGGAUCCCUGUUGUUUGAGUCCUGGAUCAAAUCGUGCCUGGAUCCCCAGUGAGCCAAUAAAUUUUCCUUAUUGCUUCAGCCUGUUUGAGAUGGUUUCAUUUCACUUGGAA
rnacentral:lncRNA from 1 species